rnacentral:rRNA from 1 species
UACGGGAGGCAGCAGUGAGGAAUAUUGGUCAAUGGGCGGGAGCCUGAACCAGCCAAGUAGCGUGCAGGAAGACGGCCCUAUGGGUUGUAAACUGCUUUUAUACAGGGAUAAAGUGCGCCACGUGUGGUGUAUUGCAGGUACUGUAUGAAUAAGGACCGGCUAAU